UCUCAAUGAUUAAAAAACUAGCUCACUUUGAACCAAUGUGAAACGAGAUGAACAACUGAGUGAC